rnacentral:rRNA from 1 species
UACAGAGGGUGCAAGCGUUAAUCGGAAUUACUGGGCGUAAAGCGCGCGUAGGUGGUUUGUUAAGUUGGAUGUGAAAUCCCCGGGCUCAACCUGGGAACUGCAUUUGUGACUGCAUGGCUAGAGUGCGGCAGGAGGGGGAUGGAAUUCCGCGUGUAGGCAGUGAAAUGCGUAGAUAUGCGGAGGAACACCGAUGGCGAAGGCAAUCCCCUGG